GCCUGGGUGGCUCAGUCGGUUGAGCGUCCGACUUCGGCUCGGGUCGUGGUCUCACGCUCGUGAGUUCGAGCCCCUGGUC
rnacentral:tRNA from 1 species